rnacentral:rRNA from 1 species
GGGGGACCUUCGGGCCUCUUGCCAUCGGAUGUGCCCAGAUGGGAUUAGCUAGUAGGUGGGGUAACGGCUCACCUAGGCGACGAUCCCUAGCUGGUCUGAGAGGAUGACCAGCCACACUGGAACUGAGACACGGUCCAGACUCCUACGGGAGGCAGCAGUGGGGAAUAUUGCACAAUGGGCGCAAGCCUGAUGCAGCCAUGCCGCGUGUAUGAAGAAGGCCUUCGGGUUGUAAAGUACUUUCAGCGGGGAGGAAGGGAGUAAAGUUAAUACCUUUGCUCAUUGACGUUACCCGCAGAAGAAGCACCGGCUAACUCACGUGCCAGCAGCCGCGGUAAUCCGGAGGGUGCAAGCGUUAAUCGGAAUUACUGGGCGUAAAGCGCACGCUAGCCCUUGGC